rnacentral:rRNA from 1 species
AACGAACGCUGGCGGCAUGCCUAACACAUGCAAGUCGAACGAGACCUUCGGGUCUAGUGGCGCACGGGUGCGUAACGCGUGGGAACCUGCCCUUAGGUUCGGAAUAACUCCCCGAAAGGGGUGCUAAUACCGGAUAAUGUCUUCGGACCAAAGAUUUAUCGCCUUUGGAUGGGCCCGCGUUGGAUUAGCUAGUUGGUAGGGUAAAAGCCUACCAAGGCGACGAUCCAUAGCUGGUCGGAGAGGAUGAUCAGCCACACUGGGACUGAGACACGGCCCAGACUCCUACGGGAGGCAGCAGUGGGGAAUAUUGGACAAUGGGCGAAAGCCUGAUCCAGCAAUGCCGGGUGAGAGAGGAAGGCGUUAGGGUUGUAAAGCUGUUUUACCCGGGAUGAUAAUGACAGUACCGGGAGAAUAAGCUCCGGCUAACUCCGUG